CUUAUAGCCCCAUCCCCCAGCCACCAGAGGAGCCUGGGACCUCUCCCCUUGAACAUCAGCUUUACAGCCCCGCAGCCAGAGCUUAGCUCUCCACCCUGUGACCUCAGGAAUCCUGUUCUCCCAGAUGUCUCCUAAGACAGAGAAAGAAUGUCUGGAACUUAGUUUUGAUGAUAUAAAGUAUAAUAAUGACCAUUUAAUUGAACGUUGUAGUUAAGCAUUUUCACCCACUAUCUGAGCCACCACCCGCUGUUAGCCUGAGGUAGGAGGAGAGAGGCUCAAGGUGUCACUUUUUGGCUGCUCAUCCAUUUUCUAGAGGAGGCUCCUGUUAAAGAACAAGGGUUCCCUGGGAGGAGCCAUCACCCUAGAGCCUGCGCCAGAGCCUAGUGUAGACUGAUUCGUGGGUAAGUGGGCAGCAGGCCCCGGGGGACCUGACAGAUGGGCUCUGUCUGAGAGGGAGAAGGGGGCUGGAGCCCGAGAUUCUCCGGGACAGUGGAUCUCAGCCCUCGACAUGCAUCAGAAUUGCCCAGGAAGCCCGGCCCCCGGAGGUGUGGUUGGGCCCAGGUACUGGGAUUUUCUCUCGAAAGCUCCCUGGAGAGUUGAACGUGCAGGAGGGUUGAGAUCCCCGCCCUGGGUGAUGACCAGGGCAUGAUGUGGGGAACUGGGACAAUGUUGGGGCAUUGAGCUCUGGCCAUGGGAGUGUGAGGAUCUCUGGGAGGCCAGGAAUACUGUUUUAUCACCCAGAAACCUCUGGCUUGGAGCAGACUCCUCACCAGGCAUUAGAUGGACCAGAGUGCAGAUGGAUUUGUCUCCUGGUGUCAGAAUUUGAAAGGUCUGCAACUUGACAUGUAGACAAGACAUGCCACUAAACUCACACAGGCUACUCCAAGAACCCUUGGGCUUCCUCCCAUAACAAGAAGAAAGGCAGAGCAGAAACAUUUCCUGAAGCUGAACAUCUGCAGCUGGAAAGAAGUGAAAGCCUUCCCAGGUCCUGCACUGUCAGGAGCUCAUGGACAGGUGUGGGACUGUUCUACAUUAUCUGACACCCACCUUUAUCUCCUCUUUUCCAAAGAGAUUGUGUCGAGUGCCUGCUGCUCCACUCUGGGAAACCUGACAACCAGACCUGCCACAGCCUGUGCAGGGAUGAGGUGAUCACAUGGGUGGACACCAUCGUGAAAGAUGACCAGGAGGCUGUGCUUUGUUUCUACAAAACCGCCAAGGACUGCGUCAUGAUGUUCACCUAUGUGGAGCUCCCCAGUGGGAAGUCCAACCUGACGGUCCUCAGGGAGCCAGAGUGUGGAAACACCCCCAACGCCAUGACCAUCCUCCUGGCUGUGGUCGGUAGCAUCCUCCUUGUUGGGCUCGCACUCCUGGCUAUCUGGAAGCUGCUUGUCACCAUCCAUGACCGGAGGGAGUUUGCAAAGUUCCAGAGCGAGCGAUCCAGGGCCCGCUACGAAAUGGCUUCAAACCCAUUGUACAGAAAGCCUAUCUCCACACACACUGUGGACUUCACCUUCAACAAAUUCAACAAAUCCUACAAUGGCACUGUGGACUGAUGUUUCCUUCUCCGAGGGGCUGGAGGGGGGAUCUAAUGAAAAGGUCAGACUAAAACGCCCUGCAUGGCUGCUCGGCUUGAUCACAGCUCCCUAGGUAGGCACCACAGAGAAGACCUUCUAGUGAGCCUGGGCCAGGAGCCCACAAUGCCUGCGCAGGAAGGUGCCUGGCCAUGUCACCUGUCUGCUAGGCCAGAGCCAUGCCAGGCUGCAUCCCUCCGAGCUUGGGAUAAAGCAAGAGGACCUUGGCGCUCUCAGCUUUCCCUGCCACAUCCAGCUUGUUGUCCCAAUGAAAUACUGAGAUGCUGGGCUGUCUCUCCCUUCCAGGAGUGCUGGGCCCCCAGCCUGGCCAGACAAGAAGACUGUCAGGAAGGGUCAGAGUGUGUAAAACCAGCAUACAAUUUGGCUUUUUUCACAUUGAUCAUUUUUAUAUGAAAUAAAAAGAUCCUGCAUUUAUGGUGUAGUUCUGAGUCCUGAGACUUUUCUGCAUGAUGGCUAUGCCUUGCACACAGGUGUUGGUGAUGGGGCUGUUGAGAUACCUGUUGAAGGUACAUCGUUUGCAAAUGUCAGUUUCCUCUCCUGUCUGUGUUUGUUUAGUACUUUUGUAAUGAAAAGAAACAAGAUUGUUUGGGAUUGAAAGUAAAGAUUAAAACCAAAAGAAUUUGUGUUUGUCUGAUA
rnacentral:sRNA from 1 species